rnacentral:rRNA from 1 species
UACGGAGGGAGCGAGCGUUGUCCGAAGUUACUGGGCGUAAAGCGCGCGUAGGCGGGAAAUUAAGUGAGAAGUGAAAGGCUGGGGCUUAACCCCAUGCAGUGCUCCUCAUACUGGUUUUCUUGAGGGUGGUAGAGAGAAGUGGAAUGGCUGGUGUAGCGGUGAAAUGCGUAGAUAUCAGUCGGAACACCAGUGGCGAAGGCGGCUUCUUGGGCCAUUACUGACGCUGAGGAGCGAAAGCGUGGGGAGCGAACAGG